GGCUGGCUAUAGCUCAGUUGGUAGAGCAUGGACUCAGCUAGAUUGGUAAAGAAAAGGUGUUUUAUAUGUGUUGUAUAUGCAGUAUAACACUGUGACACCAGAUGGCACUGGAGACUCCCGUUUUUCCCUACCAGAUUUCCCUGUAUGAGUUUACAACGUGUUUAACUGAAUCACUUCUUUGAUGUGUCUAGCUCCAGCCCAUGAGACUCUUCAUCUCAGAAUCGUGGGUUUGAGCCCCAUGUUGGGCCA